rnacentral:rRNA from 1 species
AACGAACGCUGGCGGCAUGCCUAACACAUGCAAGUCGAACGAGACCUUCGGGUCUAGUGGCGAACGGGUGCGUAACGCGUGGGAACCUGCCCUUAGGUUCGGAAUAACUCCCCGAAAGGGGUGCUAAUACCGGAUAAUGUCUUCGGACCAAAGAUUUAUCGCCUUUGGAUGGGCCCGCGUUGGAUUAGCUAGUUGGUAGGGUAAAAGCCUACCCAGGCGACGAUCCAUAGCUGGUCUGAGAGGAUGAUCAGCCACACUGGGACUGAGACACGGCCCAGACUCCUACGGGAGGCCGCAGUGGGGAAUAUUGGACAAUGGGCGAAAGCCUGAUCCAGCAAUGCCGCGUGAGUGAUGAAGGCCUUAGGGUUGUAAAGCUCUUUUACCCGGGAUGAUACUGACAGUACCGGGAGAAUAAGCGCCGGCUAACUCCGUG